UGAUAGUCUGUAGGGCGCUUUAGAAUCGAAUAACAAAAAUGACAGAAAGAAGAUAAUAUGUUUAUGAGCUUCUGUUUGUCGUGUUAUAUGUACUGAAGCAGACAGACGUUUGCCGCAUCCAAGUUUAGUUGUAAUGGUAUAGCCAAGUGAAGAAUGAUAACAGUAUAAAAGUCCAAGUCAGCCUUUUGAAACCAAGAAAGUCAGAACUUCCCUUUUCACAAGAAAGCGCUUCAUCCAAGGUGUUAAUUUGAUGGCUACAGGGAGACGUUUCUCAUCCAUACAUGAAAAUGUUAUGUAAUUUUUUUUUUUUUUUUUUUUUUGCAUGUUCAGAUGUAGAAAAUGUUUAAAAGAUUAGUGGCAAUGCUAUUGUGGGUUUUCACUUUGAGAAGUUGAACGUAUUAGGUUUAAUUAAAAUCGGCAUUCUGCUUUUGCUUUAGUAAUAUGGAACUGUCCAUUAGUCAUACCAGUGAUCUUUUUUUAAACUGAUCUGUAAGUGUUAAUAAACAAGAUUUUAAGUUGGGUUUUCCUAAUGGUACUUUUGUGAGUGUUCUAUCUGAUCUCUAUAAUGCACUUUCUUCCUACCUUCAUGACUUCCCAGCAAGUUCAGGUUGUCUUGUAUGCUCAUUCAGCGGGAUUUUCUUGGCCCUCCUGCUAGUCUUUGUGAUACUAUUCCAAAUCCUUUUUUUUUUAUCAUAUAUAAAUAACUGGUCUCACCCUUUUCAUAUAUUAUGCUUGAAACAUCAAUACAUAUUUGAGGUGUGUGUUUUCAGUCCUCUAGACAUCAUAAUUAUGUCAGCAAUUUCAUGUGUAAAAUGGUGUUUUAAUAACACUUAAACUUUGCAUUGAAAAUAUUUGUUUCUGAUUAUGCAUAUCUUGUUCAUUUUGAAUUGUGCUAAGGGGAUACCACCCUUAAUUGCCAUUGGACAAGUACAGUAAUUCCUUUCCACUUCACAUUUGUGAUUUUGUAAUUCAUAUUCAUGCUGUGCUCUCAGUGCUUUAUGCACAGCCCAUAAUUACUAUCCCAAAUUAAGGAAAAUGUCCCACACACAGCUUGGGAUUUUACCACAACAUUUUGUCCCUCUUAGGUCCAUUUUUUUCCCUUUGUAAUUUACCUAGGCAUCAGAAAUCACUAGUCGUUUAUGGUGUAAAAAUCCUGGGUAUUUUAAGAGGCACUUAAUACUGUGCACUUCUUUUGAAGUUAUAUAGUACAAGAUUUCUCUCUCUCACUUGUGUAAGUCCUAAACCCUUACUCUUUCCAGUUCUUGAUAGUUUCACUCUUGUAAAUAUCCUUCACCUUCCCUCAUAACUCUUAAGCCCUUUCAAGUGUUCUUUCUUUCUCUUUUCGUCCUUCACCCUACCUCUCUCAGCUUUUUCUAAUAUCGCUCAAGUUCUUUAGCUCUUGUGUCCUUCACCCUCCCUCUCCUCAUAGGAGGGUAGUGCCAUCAGUGCACCAGCAUCACUUGAGGUUCUUUGCAGUGCGCGUUCGGCCCCUAGCUGCAACCACUUUCAUUCCUUUUGCUGUACCUCCUUUCAUAUUCUCUUUCUUCAUCUUAUUUCACUUUCCACAGUCUCCUAAUAGUACUUGAUUCUUAGUGCAACUGUGAGGUUUUCCUCCUGUUACACCUUUCAAACCUUUUACUGUCAAUUUCCAUUUCAGCAGUGAAUGACUUCAUUAGGUCCUAGUGCUUGGUCUAUAUUCAAUUCACCCUGCCUCCAAGUCUUCUUGGUAUCUCUUGUAAGUGUCCUCUCUUUAACUCUUGUAGUGGCCUUCACCCUCCCUCUCUCUGGCUGGUUAGUAUCUCUCUUAUUCAUAAAUAAAUUGGGGAUUUUUGUAAACCCCACAUUAUUCUUGUCUUUAUUCAUGUGCUCAAUUUAUGAAGACCAAAAAGACAUUUUAAGGGAAGUAAUACUGUCACCAUGUAUUGCUUAAAAUAUCAAAAGUUUACUAAUGUCACUAAAUGUACACAUUUAAUAUCUAUCAAAAGUAAAAUAUUUUUUUGAAUGAAAAUUCUGAGUACAUACAUGCCAUUGUAAACUCAAUUAGGUGUUAUUUUGGUGUUGCCUAUUGUUCUAAGCAUAGGCUGUUAUGUAAAGGAAUUGUGUUGUUAAACUGCAGUUAUGUUCUUCGUUCAUGGAGUUCUGGAAAUUCAUCAGUCAAGAGCGUUACUUAUUAUUAUUACCUAGACAGCUAAAGGAUUAUGCUACUUUUACCCAAAGGAAAUUCAUUUUGUGAUCAUGAUAGUAUGUUCCUCAUACUAUAGUUAUAUUUUGUAAAAUGUUAAGGACAAGUAUUUGUUUUUCAAAGAUUAUUACUUGGGAAGACAGCGAGGUCUGUGUAUAUUAUUUACGAAAAUUGUAACCAUGUAACUAUUUCCUUUACAUAUAACAUGAUGAAAACACUGGUAGAACUAAAGCCCCGUUCACAUGGUCGAACUUUGCCUGACAGACUGUUCGAUGUGACGUCAGAAGCAGGAAAAAUCAGAACCUUACCUGACGUUUCUCUGCUUCUGACGUCACAUCGAACAAAGUUCGACUAUGGACAGGGUUUCAGUAUUCCUUCAUGCUAUAUCCAUAAUGCUCAAGUGGUAUAGGCAAUGCAUUUAUCUAGGUCUUGGCACAGUUUGGUAUACAGCAUUUUACAAAAAUCAUUGAAAAAAAAUACAAGGAAAAAUAAACAAUGAAUGCACUUG